rnacentral:rRNA from 1 species
CAGCCGCCGCGGGAAUACGGAGGGUGCAAGCGUUAAUCGGAAUUACUGGGCGUAAAGCGCACGCAGGCGGUCUGACAAGUCAGAUGUGAAAUCCCCGGGCUUAACCUGGGAACUGCAUUUGAAACUGUCAGGCUGGAGUCUUGUAGAGGGGGGUAGAAUUCCAGGUGUAGCGGUGAAAUGCGUAGAGAUCUGGAGGAAUACCGGUGGCAAAGGCGGCCCCCUGGACAAAGACUGACGCUCAGGUGCGAAAGCGUGGGGAGCAAACAGGAUUAGAUACCCGCGUAGUCCCUGUCUCUUAUAC